AGCUUGACUCGUGGACAAUCGCAAAUGACCGAAGAGGAAUUCCCUGGGUCGUUAGGAAAAUCAGAAACAUUGAUGAUGUAUGAAGGAAAAGGUGCUCAGGGAAAUGGGUAGGACCUGUGGGAGUAGCAGCAGGUGUAUGGGGGUGCUGUAAGGAGGAUGCAUGGAAGAUGGGAAAAUAGGAUUUUAUAAUCAGAUAGAGGAGGCAGGAAAUAGGUAGGACCUGUGGGAGUAGCAGUAAGUCUAUAGGGUGCUGUAGGGAGGAGCAUCAUUUGGAUGCAUGGAAGAUGGGAAAAUAGGAUUUUAUAAUCAAAUAGAGGAGGUAGAUAUGAUAUUCAAGUGUUAUUUUAAUAUAAUUCAUUUUGGAACUUUGAAAAUUGAUAAUGGGCUGAACCUCCAUAGGCGCUGAAAAAAGGAAACAAAAAUGAAAUAGCUUUCAGAAAAUUUUCCUAUCUUAUCACAGUACCAUUCUAAGGUUCCUAGACCAUCUUAUUAUGAAUAUUUAUUCGAUACACUUGCCUAUCAUCAUGCCAAUAAUACAUAAUUAGUUAUAAUCCACUUGGGGAUUCAUUCAUUCCAAAUGGACACUUAUGUAAAUAAAAAUUUCUUUAAUUUUGGAAUGAUAUCAGGCAUGAUUUUUUAUCUUAUAAUUUAUGGAAAACUUGGUCCUUCACUUAUUUGUCAACUAAUCUUAUCAGGCAUCUAUGAAAUUCCAAAAGAAAUCACAACAUAUUUACCUUAAAAUGAUAAUAAAUCAUUUCAUAAAUUUUAUGUAGUUCACACUUUUCUAGCCAGAAGAGUUUCAACAUUUCUUAAUUGAAUACCUAAUCACCUCAUGUUCAAAUGUUUCAAAUAAGAUUUCACAUAGUACGAUUUACAUGUAAUUAGAGAUCUCGUCAUUUACGUCAGCAUUAAUCUUAUUAUCAUGGAAUUACAAGUGAAAGUGUCCAUAAUAGUCAGAUUGCCCAGUGAUACUGUCUGUGAACUCCACCAAGACAAAUAUAAAUAUUUAAUUAAUGAUAAUUAAAACUAUCAUUUAGAUAAGAUCAAAUCAACUUGUCAUUUACGUUAUCAAUGUACUACUUAUAUUUUCGUGUCUAUGAUUAAAUUUAAUUGUGUUACCCUUAUCAAGUGGACUGUGUAAUUACCUUUCAAUAAUAUAUAAUCAUGUAUUCGUUUCAAAGUCACCAUUACAAAUGCAAAAAUAUUUUUCAACAGAAUUCACUUCUUUCUAAUUGUAAAUGUCAAGUGUUGUUAAUCUUAGAGAAAUUGAAUUACAAUCUUUUAGAUAAUUCUGUUGUUUACUGGUUGGUGAAUGUAUACUAACAUCUUUCCAUACAUUAAUAUUAAUGUCUGCUUAAUUAUAUUUUAAUUUUGCACGUGUACGUUUUAACGUGAAAAAUAUUAAUGACAAAAUGUGGUAUACUAAUAAACAUCUACAUAAGGAUUAUACAUGUUACUUGUCCCUAUUUAAUGUUAUACAGAUUAAAAUUUCUUACGCAUGUUGUCCAAACAUGGGAUUGUUCAACAUCUGUUAUACCAUUCAUUGAUCUCUAAAUCUUGCCAGUUUAUCCCUGAAUGGGUCAACAAUACUAAUUAAUAGGAAAAUCCCCUUAUGAAUUAUUAGCUGAGUAUUCUUUCAAUAACUGUACAAUAAUUGUUCUAUAAUCCUUGUG